rnacentral:rRNA from 1 species
ACAUGCAGUCGAACGAUGAACCGGUUUCGGCCGGGGAUUAGUGGCGAACGGGUGAGUAACACGUGGGCAAUCUGCCCUGCACUCUGGGAUAAGCCCGGGAAACUGGGUCUAAUACCGGAUACGACACUCCGAGGCAUCUUGGGGUGUGGAAAGUUCCGGCGGUGCAGGAUGAGCCCGCGGCCUAUCAGCUUGUUGGUGGGGUAAUGGCCUACCAAGGCGACGACGGGUAGCCGGCCUGAGAGGGUGACCGGCCACACUGGGACUGAGACACGGCCCAUUAAGACUCCUACCGCGGAGGCAGCAGUGGGGAAUAUUGCACAAUGGGCGAAAGCCUGAUGCAGCGACGCCGCGUGAGGGAUGACGGCCUUCGGGUUGUAAACCUCUUUCAGCAGGGAAGAAGCGAAAGUGACGGUACCUGCAGAAGAAGCACCGGCUAACUACGUGCCAGCAGCCGCGGUAAUACGUAGGGUGCGAGCGUUGUCCGGAAUUAUUGGGCGUAAAGAGCUCGUAGGCGGUUUGUCGCGUCGAUUGUGAAAGCCCGGGGCUUAACCCUGGGUCUGCAGUCGAUACGGGCAGGCUAGAGUUCGGCAGGGGAGACUGGAAUUCCUGGUGUAGCGGUGAAAUGCGCAGAUAUCAGGAGGAACACCGGUGGCGAAGGCGGGUCUCUGGGCCGAUACUGACGCUGAGGAGCGAAAGCGUGGGGAGCGAACAGGAUUAGAUACCCUGGUAGUCCACGCCGUAAACGGUGGGCACUAGGUGUGGGCAACAUUCCACGUUGUCCGUGCCGCAGCUAACGCAUUAAGUGCCCCGCCUGGGGAGUACGGCCGCAAGGCUAACACUCAAAGGAAUUGACGGGGGCCCGCACAAGCGGCGGAGCAUGUGGCUUAAUUCGACGCAACGCGAAGAACCUUACCAAGGCUUGACAUACAUCGGAAACGGCCAGAGAUGGUCGCCCCCUUGUGGUCGGUGUACAGGUGGUGCAUGGCUGUCGUCAGCUCGUGUCGUGAGAUGUUGGGUUAAGUCCCGCAACGAGCGCAACCCUUGUCCUGUGUUGCCAGCAACCUCUUCGGAGGGUUGGGGACUCACGGGAGACUGCCGGGGUCAACCUCGGAGGAACGGUGGGGACGACGUCAAGUCAUCAUGCCCCUUAUGUCUUGGGCUGCACACGUGCUACAAUGGCCGGUACAAUGAGCUGCGAUGCCGUGAGGUGGAGCGAAUCUCAAAAAGCCGGUCUCAGUUCGGAUUGGGGUCUGCAACUCGACCCCAUGAAGUCGGAGUCGCUAGUAAUCGCAGAUCAGCAUUGCUGCGGUGAAUACGUUCCCGGGCCUUGUACACACCGCCCGUCACGUCAUGAAAGUCGGUAACACCCGAAGCCGGUGGCCUAACCCCUUGUGGGAGGGAGCUUCA